GAUAACUCCGGGAAACCGGGGCUAAUACCGGAUGGUUGUUUGAACCGCAUGGUUCAAACAUAAAAGGUGGCUUCGGCUACCACUUACAGAUGGACCCGCGGCGCAUUAGCUAGUUGGUGAGGUAACGGCUCACCAAGGCAACGAUGCGUAGCCGACCUGAGAGGGUGAUCGGCCACACUGGGACUGAGACACGGCCCAGACUCCUACGGGAGGCAGCAGUAGGGAAUCUUCCGCAAUGGACGAAAGUCUGACGGAGCAACGCCGCGUGAGUGAUGAAGGUUUUCGGAUCGUAAAGCUCUGUUGUUAGGGAAGAACAAGUACCGUUCGAAUAGGGCGGUACCUUGACGGUACCUAACCAGAAAGCCACGGCUAACUACGUGCCAGCAGCCGCGGUAAUACGUAGGUGGCAAGCGUUGUCCGGAAUUAUUGGGCGUAAAGGGCUCGCAGGCGGUUUCUUAAGUCUGAUGUGAAAGCCCCCGGCUCAACCGGGGAGGGUCAUUGGAAACUGGGGAACUUGAGUGCAGAAGAGGAGAGUGGAAUUCCACGUGUAGCGG
rnacentral:rRNA from 1 species